AGAGCCCAGCGUGCGCGGCCUUGCGUGCGUGCACACGCAUAUGUGUCCAGGUGCCUACGCAGGUGCCUGACCCUGGGCAAGUCGCUCCGUCAUGCGGACCUCAGUUUUCUCAUCUGUCCGACGAAGCAUGAUUUUCUGGUCAGACUGCAUCAGCUCCCUCUUCUCCACCAGGACAGUAGGGAUCUACAGCCCAAGAACCAAAGACUUUGGACAUUUUGUUCUACUUGGGAAGUUUGUAAUGUUAUCUUCUGCUGUGGAGCAUAGUGCAAAGAAAUAGGGGGAAGAAAGGUGGGUUUCUUCUGUCUCCACCCCAAAGACCAAGGAUACUUUCUUCCCUGAGGGUUGCCUCUGCAUUGCAAGUUUUUUCUGACCCUUCACUACACAGAUGGACAACUCAGGUGGCCAGAGGACUUCAACUGAAUGGAAUUACACAAUGAUUUGUUGAACAUGUAUUGUGCACCAGGGAGUAUGUGAGGCUAUGUGGUAGGCAUGAGAUGAACAAUGGAAGAUUCUUGCCCCAUGGAAGGUGACCACUGGAAUUAGAAAUCCUAGCAUCACCUAAGGAAAGGCUCAGAUCUUCCCUGGUGGAGGUUGGGGAUCUUCCCGAAGGGACCUUUUGGACCCAGAGCUCUUGUAUCAUUGCCUCUUGGCAAGAGGUUUAGAGACUCCCUUCAUCAUGAAGUUUCACAGACUCCUUCAGCCUUUAUCUUUCCUGAGUUCUAUGGGGAAAAGCUAGGUUAGAUAUGUGGAGUGACUCACCGAGACCUGAGAAGGCAUCUGCAUGAGGCUGCGGGGGUGUCCUUAGAGAAAAGGGAAGCUGCAGUGUGGAGGCUGGGGGAUGCACAAGAUGAUCUCCAGAGUCUCUCAGCCUUCAGAAGCGCAGGCUCUCUGAGGCCACAUUCCUUCCUGGUCUGGCUCAGUGGAGGCUGUGUUUCCCCACUGUUGCUUUUUGCAUGGAUUUGUUCAGCAGUUGAAUGGGCAGAGAAGGAGGAGUCUCUCCCUUCCUGUUCUCACACAGCUCUGCUUCAUGGACACCCACACAGAUUCACUGGAGAGCAAAGCCUACCAGAGUCCCUGUCAGCAGCACUGUUUCUAGAAGCUUCCACAUGAGCAGACAGCAUGGAGUCCUGGGGGCUAAUGAAGCAGCAAUGUCAGCAUGAGCACAGGCAGGGAGAGGCAAGAGGAGCAGAGUAAAGGGGAACGUUCUCUUCAUUCUUCCACCUGCCUGUCCCCCAGCCGACACGUCCCUUCCGUUCCCUGCAAGGCCAUUUCCAGGGAGGCUUACGAAGACAGCAGAUGAUGGUGAUGGAAGGAGUCUGGGUGCUGAGCUGUGCCAUGGACCUGGAGAGAAACUGAGUCCGAGGGAUGUCAACAUGCCAAGUCCAUGGAAAUAUCAGUGGGCUGGAAUUCUAGCUGCCUGAAAGAAGACAUUCCUCACACAAGACCUCACAAUCAUAUCCAUGGAAUUAUAGCACUGGGCUCUCCAGAUGGUGCUACAGGAAGACCUCCAGAAAUUUGACAAUCCUCUAUUCAAGGCCCUACCACAGAGACACACAGGAACGGAACUCAGAAUCACAAACAAAGAAACUUUGAUCCAAGAAAGAAAAUGAUCUUUAAAAAGACCCUCGUUUCAUGCUGGCCGAUGCUGAGAAAAUCUGCUCUGAAGGAUAUUUGGAGACACUGAUUAAAAGAUGGUUGUCCCAGUGGAGGGGGAUUCUUCGUGUUACGUAGAUAGGAAGCACGAUGCAAAAGUGUUGAAGCAGGAGUGUAAAGAAUAAUUAAAACACCUGCCCAAGACCCAAGCAAGGAUAGGAUUUCCCAGACAUUCGUGAGGGAGAAAAUGCCAUGUCCUUUCCUUCUGGUGUCACAUCAGAAUCUGAAGGCUGCUAGAGAAGGGAGAGAAACAUGAAAGUGAGUCCCAUGCUGAUUGUUGUUGAAAUACCUGGAAAGAAACUGGCAAAGACUAUCCAAGGGAUGCUAAGACAUGUCCGAACUUACAAAACAGUAGAACCUGAAUAGGAAUUUGAAGUUGUCUAUACUCUCCUCAGCCACACCCUGCCAUUUUACAGAUUGUCUUCUCUGGGGAAGUUAGCUGUCAUGUUGUGAGGAUACUCAAGCAGUUUAUAAAGAGGUUCAUGUCGCAAGGAAUGGAGGCCUCCUGCCAACAGCCAUGUAAAGGAGCCAUCUAGGAAAUAGAUUCUCCAGCCCCAGUCAGACCUUCAGAUGAUUACAGCCCCUACCAACCUUCUGACUGCGGUGGAAGGAAGGUUCCGGAACCAGAACCACCCAGGUUAAUGUGGGUAAGUCUCAUCCAAUCCUUUGAAGGCCUGAAGAACAAAGAGUGAGGUUUCUGGAAGAAGAAAAUUUUACCUCAAGCCUGCAAUGUAGAAAUUCUGCUUGAGUUUCCCGCCUGCUGGCCUGCCCUGUGGAAUUCGGAGUCAAGAAGGAGUCUUGUAAGCAUUAACUGAGAUAGUAUAUGAAGAGUGCUUUUGCACCGAGUGAACCUUCAAUCAACUGUACUAGUUUGUAUGCCUGGAAGAGCUGCUAUAUGGGAUCAGAAAGAAAAAUAAGGUGCAUACGCCAGAAAAAAAAUACUUGCAUAUGAGUACUAGGAGAUGCAUGACAAUGUUCACGGCAGCAGUAUUCAUGGCAGUGAAAAAUGAAAAGAACUGAAAUGCCCAUUGAUAAAAACGUCUACUUAUUUGUGUCAUCUUUGCACAGUGGAAUUGUGCGAGUGGAAAUGAUUGAUCUACAGCUAGGAGAAGCAGCAGAGCUCAAUCUCAAAAACAUAACGUUGUGUGGAAAAAGCUAACCUCAGAACACUUUGCGGCUCUAUCUUAGCAAACCAGGAGAGAAAUUCUCCUGAUGGCCUUGAAGAAGCAAACAGCCACCUGGUUAAGCCCCUGUGGAUAGUGCCAAGUGGCAGGAAAGUGGGAGCCACCUCUAGGACCUGAGGAUUAAAGUCAGUAAGAGCUGGGACCUCACUCAUGCAGACUCGAGGACAUGAAUUCGACCAACAACUUGAAUGAGCUUGGAAGUGGAUUCUUCCCUAGUCCAGUCUUCAGAAAUUAAGAAUGUUCCCAAAGAAUGAUGGAGACAUUUCAAAAGGAUACGGAAGCCAGAUUGUGGGCGCUUCUACUGGCCAACUCUGGGACAUCGUGGACAUCAAAAUAAAUUUGUAAUAAUAAAGGAUUAUAGCCUAUUAGUUAAAUCAGAAAAAUCUGAUUUAACUAAAUGAGUAGGAGGAAAAGAAAGCUCUUCCUUAUAUUAGAAAGUCAAUUAAUAAAUGCAGAAAGGAAUGAAAAAAUUAGAAAAGCCACCAUUUGGCAACCAUGGCAGGCAGAAUGGGGAGUAUGCCUCCAGACAGUAAUUCCUUUCAAACUGGUUUAUAGGAACUCACUGAGCUUGCUGAUCGACCUCUGAGAGGCAAAGUUUCUGAAUUAUGAAGUACUGAUUAUAUAAACUUAGACAGAGACAUGCUUCAUUAUUUAAUAGGACUGUGUCAAAAGCCUACUAUUAGGAUGAUGUGUUGGGUGUGGAACAGGGUCUCUUCCUGCCAGGAACACUGGUGAUUUCACUCCGUGUUCAGGCUGAUCUUUGAAGUUGAAGACAAGCAGAAGAAUCCUUCUAAAAUUUAGCCAUGCCCAUAGGCUGGGAGGGACACUGCUCCAUUCAGAGGCAGCAAAGCACAUUACUGUAUCUCCUAUAGAGCUUUGAGCAGUCCAGUGUACAUGGAGAAACUUAGUAAAUGUUGUUGAAUUAGUGAAUGAACAAAUCAAUGGACCAAGUCAGGGGUAAGUCUUACAUUUGUCAUCUAGGUGAUUAAGAAAGGAAAAAGUAUCUGUUUCAAGAGGAUUACAAUCUAACUGUACUCCAAUAGUAAAAUUUACUCUUUUGGAAUCUGAA
rnacentral:lncRNA from 1 species